CCCGCACAAGCGGUGGAUGAUGUGGAUUAAUUCGAUGCAACGCGAAGAACCUUACUACCCUUGACAUGUCCGGAACUUGCCAGAGAUGGCUUGGUGCCCGAAAGGGAAUCGGAACACAGGUGCUGCAUGGCUGUCGUCAGCUCGUGUCGUGAGAUGUUGGGUUAAGUCCCGCAACGAGCGCAACCCUUAUCAUUAGUUGCUACGCAAGGGCACUCUAAUGAGACUGCCGGUGACAAACCGGAGGAAGGUGGGGAUGACGUCAAGUCCUCAUGGCCCUUAUGGGUAGGGCUUCACACGUCAUACAAUGGUCGGUACAGAGGGUUGCCAAGCCGCGAGGCGGAGCCAAUCCCACAAAGCCGAUCGUAGUCCGGAUUGUUCUCUGCAACUCGAGAGCAUGAAGUCGGAAUCGCUAGUAAUCGCAGGUCAGCAUACUGCGGCGAAUACGUUCCCGGGUCUU
rnacentral:rRNA from 1 species